AUGCAAAGUAAACAAAAACAGAGAGAGUACGUGAAAAAUAUUAAGACAACCUGUAAUGUAUGCAUUAGCAGAAAAGGUACACACAUGAGAGCUAACGGCGCGUUUGGUAGCCUGCAUAUUACCUACCCAAACCCGUGUGGUGCAGUUUUGGCGUCUUUGAUAUCAUGCACGAACCUUAGGGCAACUCCAACUGUUGACUCAAACGGAUACAAAAUGUGUCAGUUUUUUAUCCCUUUGUAUGGCAGGGUGAACACCAAAUGUCCGUCCGUGUCUGUCGGCCCGCCAGUUCAUUUUUUCUUCUUGAUUAAAAAAAAUUAUAUUUAA
rnacentral:rRNA from 1 species